rnacentral:lncRNA from 1 species
GGUUGUUAUGCUCAAUCAAGGCUGUAGCAAAUGUCAAAAACAACUUUGUUAUGUUUUACAUGAUGUAAAUUGUGUAUAUCAAAGCAUUUGAACCAUGGUGUGAUUAAUUCAGAUGCAUUAACCUAUCAAAUAUAAACAUUGGAGUUAAGUUUUGGAGAGAAAGAUAUCACUCUACCUUUCGUAUUGGCCAAAGUUCAACAAGACGACUUCUAUAUAAACAAAGCCCAACGAAGUGUAAUGGGUCAAACCCCUCCGGCAAUGAACUUGAAGGAUAGUCCGGCCAUUCAAUCCACCGCAGGCUAGAAGGAAGACAAGUGAUAAUGCUUUCCGAGCAAAUAGUUUGAUUAUCCAAUAUCAGCACCUGUAAUCUUUCCAUCUUCUUGAAUACCUUGCUAUGAUUUACAUGAUCAUCUCCAAAACGAUAACCUUUUGGAAUCUGUAGGCUUUCCACCUUUUUUGUUUUCUGUAAAGAAAGUAACAUAUAUUUAUUUGUCAACAUAACAAACACACAAUACUAAGAGUUUCAUAAAAUUAUCAGUUUUUCAGUUUAUGAUAUUUCUAACCAACUUUCCAGCGAAAAGGUCAUGACCCUCCUUAGGAAGCCAUAUUCUGCUGUUUUUGUACUCUUCUCUCAACACAUUUUCACCCAUUUCUCUUAUCAAAUUAUGCAUCUUAAAGUUGCAGAAAUUGCUGCUGAUGGAUAAGAGAGAUUUUUCGAUGAGGCGGCUUAUUCCUACCAUGUGAAUACCACAACUCUUAAGUAUUUGUUCCACAUAAUAUACUGGUCUAUCGUUGUACAAGCUUGCGAUAUCUAGAAAUAUCCUCAUCUCGUCUUUUUUCAAUCCAUCAAGAUCAAUCUUAAGUUUUCCUAGAAUGUCAUCAUUAGGGAUCUCCUUCAGUCUAUCAAUUAUGUCUCUCCAUAGCCCUUUAUUUCGUCCGUAAACAGAAGAACCCAAAACUUUAAGAGCUAAAGGGAGUCCGCCGGCAUACUCCACCACUUGUCUUGAAAGUUCCAUAAAAUCUUCUUUUGGUGUUUUUUCCUUAAAAGCAUGCCUGCUGGACAAUUCAAGUGCUUCGUCCUCAGAUAAUAGUUGGACUUCAUACACGUUAUCCCCAACGUGACUGAUUAGCAGGUGCCUGUCUCUUGCUGUCAAAAUAAUUCUGCUACCCUUACCAAACCAUUCUUUCCCUCCAACUAAAUAUUCCAACUGUUCUCGAUGGUUUACAUCAUCAAGAAUGAACAAAACUUUCUUCCAGCGAAGCAUAUUCUUUAAAAUAAUCAUCCCUUCAUGUUCACUAGUUAGGGUCAUCUUUUCACCCAAGAGCUUGCGAAUGACGACUUGCUCUAGCCAUGUUAGUCCAUUUCUCUGAUAAAGUGUUCCGACAUCACCAAGAAAACAAUCAGCUUCAAAUCGAUGACGAUAUCUUUGAUACAGAACACUUGCAAUUUCCGUCUUGCCAAUGCCGCCCAUACCACAAAUCCCGAUUGAGCGAACAUCAUUUGAUUCCAUAUCUAAUAGUGAGGUUACUUUCUCAACCUGAGAUUGCAUACCCACUAAGCUUUCUGGGAACGGUGAAAUAAAUUGAAGCGAUUUAGGAAAUAUGUCAUCAACUAGCUUCUUGAUGCACUCCGCCUCAUCCCUACAUUACAGCAAAAAGAAUCUGAGAGUAAACUAAAUAGAAAAUACAAGAAAGAGUUGUCAUAGACUAAUGUCUCAUACAAACACAUAACAAAACAAAGCGACAAAGGUAAUAUUCUUUUUCCCCGGAAUCACUAUGAUUACUAUAACAUCUUCACAUUGUUAGAUCCAAUUACAUCAUCAAACAAGAACAUAACUCAAGGUUUGCCAAUUAAUGUAAAUUAUAAUUGUAGCUAAGAGUUUGGUGAAAAGAACGAACGCUUACUUAAAAUUUUGUAAAUGAUAUCCUGAUAUUUUCCCUGCCUCCGCAAAUGCAUCCCUCCAUCUCUGAACCUUCUCUAUAUCAUCUCUAUACUUUUUCUCUUGUUUGGAAAAUGACUUAGCGAACGGGGGAUUUUGAUGGCGUACAUCUGAUGGACUCACAUCACAGAAGACUGGAAUCACAAUCUACUCCAAUUCAUUUUUACACUUUAUGAUGUGCGCAAGCUCCUCUAAGCACCAUCUUGAGGAUGCAUAGCUUCUUGAAAAUAUCACGACUGCGAAUCUGGCUUCUUCUAUGGCUUUCAAAAGUUCGCCAGAAAUUGAUUUUCCUGUUUCCAGCCGCUCAUCGUCUUUAAAAGUGCGUAUUCCUUUUUGUUCUAAAGCAUUAUAGAGAUGGCUCACAAAGGUUCUGCUUGUAUCUUCGCCUCUAAAACUCAAAAAGACAUCGUACUUGAAAGUUUUGGAAGAAGAAGCUUGAGACAUUAUUGAAUAAUAUUUACUAAAGACUAAUAGGCAAGUUCUCAACUUUGGAUGUAUUGGUGAAAAAUCUCACAUAAUUGGGUGGCUCUGGUGCUUAAUAAAGAGCAAAAUUUCACCUUUUUCACUAUUCCUAGUCUUCAUGGGAAACUUGUACCUUAUCUUUAUCAUCAUUGUGAGAAAUUAAUGAGUAAUGAAGCAAACAAGAAGACUUGGAUCUUGACUAAAAGGGCAAAGAAAAAACUAAAGUUUGGAAAAAACAGAAGAAAACAUAUGAAAAGGGAACUAAAGUAAUAAAGUAUCGGACUAAAAGUCUAUGCAACAUUAUUGCGAAUAGAUCCAACUUCUCAUGAAAUUCCCAGGCAAUAUCAUUUAUUCCAAAAUACAAACUUGGAUUAUUAUUUUAUCACUAUACUAAAUAAAAAUAUUAUAAAUUAUUAAAUUAAAUACUAAACAAUAAUGUUUUAAAACCUUUUCAAAUAAUAGUUAAUCCUAAUUACCAUGGUGUAUAUUUCAUUAUUAAUAAAAAAUAAACUUCCUAUUACAUUUUACAUUUUAGCUAUAAUACACAUGAUUAAUUGAUUUCCUAUGAGAUGACAAGUUAUAGGUACAUUAUAUGACAUCUCACAAAAUAUGCCAUCAAAUGUUUGUCUUUUUUCCUAACAUGUUGCCUCUAUUGAAUUACUAUAUGAGUUAAAUUGCUAGCUUUUUAUCUUCCUUUAUAACUCCACAUUGAAAAGGUGUUAUAAAGUGUGUACUGUACACACAGUCUAAUCUUAAAUUUCUGUCGGAUGCUGUUUUCAAAGCUUGAACUUGUGACCUUCUGGUCACAUGAUAGCAACUUGACCAGUUAUUCCAAGGCUCCCCUUCAGAAUUGGAAUUGAUAACGAAGUUGUUGAGCAACUUUAUUGGCUCCUAUUGUUACAUAUUUCUCUUUGAACUAACAUGUUCAUUCUCAUCUCAAAUCAUAUUGCAGCAGAUACAAAAAAAAAUAAAAAUUAUAUGAUUACGUUAACUGAUAAGUGAUAAUUGGUUAUUUAAAUUAUUCUGGAUUACUUUUGUACUUAAGAAGAUAACUACAGUUAGAAGUUUAGCCUUAUUGAUAUGAAAUUAUGUACAAAGAUAACAAGGUAUAAUAGAAAUAAGCAGUGUGUAAAAUAGAGAGUACAAGUUGUGUUCUCUACAAUUUUCCUUCACAGGCUAUGGGCUAUUUAUAGCCCAAAUUAAGAACUUUAUCUAAUUUAAUAUUCAAAAAGUGGAGAAAUAGUAAGGCAAUUGCCCACUUAAAAAGGAAACCAAAUGCCUACUGACAUGGCAUCCAUUCACAACAUAAAAAGGAAACCAAAUGUCUAUUAACAUGGCAUCCAUUCAUAACACUCCCCCUUGGAUGACCAUGUAAAAUAAAAUUUCCUAAAUACGCAUUUGAGUGUUGCCUCAUUAAAAAUCUUUACCAAGGAAAACCCAGUGGGAUAAAAACAUUGGUUAAGGAAAAAAGAGUACAACGUGUAUUCUCACUCCCCCUGAUGAAGACCCCGAUUCAAACGGUUCAGUCUUCGCAUCCCAAUCUUGUAUACCAUCUUCUCAAAGGUUGAAGUUGGUAAAGAUUUAGUGAACAUAUCUGCUAGAUUAUCGCUUGAACGAAUUUGUUGAACAUCUAUUUCACCUUUCUUCUCAAGAUUAUGAGCAAAAAAGAAUUUUAGUGAAAUGUGUUUUGUUCUGUCUCUUUUAACGUAACCUCCCUUCAACUGAGCUAUACAUGCAGCAUUAUCUUCAUACAAUGUAGUUGGGAUAUUCUUAUUCACAGAAAAUCCACACAUUUCUUGAAUAUGUUGAGUCAUCGAUCUCAACCAAACACACUCCCGGCUCGCUUCAUGAAUGGCAAUAAUUUCUGCAUGAUUUGAAGAAGCUGCAGCUAAUGUUUGCUUCAUUAAACGCCAUGAUAUAGUUGUGCCACCGUAUGUAAAUAAAUAACACGUCUAAGACCGAGCCUUAUGUGGAUCAGACAAGUUUCCUGCAUCUGCAUAAAUAAUCAUUUCUGACUUGGAUUAAUUUGAAUAAAAUAAUCCUAAGUCAAUGGUUCCCCGAAGAUAUCUGAGUAUAUGCUUGACACCAUUUCAAUGUCUUUUAGUUGGGGAAGAGCUGAAUCUUGCCAAUAAACUUACCGCAAAAUAAAUAUCUGGUCGAGUAUUAUUGGCAAGAUAAAUUAGUGCCCCGAUUGCACUAAGGUAUGGAGUUUCAUCACCAAGAAGCUUUUCAUCAUUUUCUUGAGGUCGAAAUGGAUCAUUGUUUAUAUCAAGCGAUCUCACAACCAUUGGGGUACUCAAUGGAUGUGAUUUAUCCAAGUAAAAUCGCUUUAAAAUCCUUUCAGUGUAUAUUGAUUGAUGGACAAAAAAUACAUUUGUCAAAUGCUCAAUCUGUAGGUCGAGAUAAAAUUUUGUCUUUCCUAGAUCUUUCAUUUCAAAUUCUUUCUUCAAACACUCGACAACUUUUGAAAGUUCUUGGGGAGUGCCAAUGAUAUUCAGGUCAUCAACAUAAACAAUUAUUAUAGCAAAUUCAUAUCCAAACCUUAUUAUAAAAACACAAGGGCAAAUAGGAUUAUUUUUGAACCCUCAUUUUAGCAAAGAUUCGCUAAGACGAUUUUACCACAUCCGCCCUGAUUGUUUCAAUCUAUAUAAGGAUUUUUGAAACUUUAUUGAGCAAGUUUCUUGCGAAUUUUUAUAUGCUUUAGGUACUUUGAAGGCCUCUGGAAUUUUCAUAAAAAUAUCGCUGUCGAAUAAGCCAUACAAAUAGGCCGUGACAACAUCCUGUAGGCGCAUAUCAAACUUUUCAUGAACUGCCAGAUUUAUUAUAUAUCUGAAGGUAAUUCCAUACACCACAGGAGAAUAUAUUUCCGCAUAAUCAAUGCCAGGUCUUUGCGAAAAACCUUGUGCCACAAGUCGUGCUUUAUAUCUUACGACUUCACCUUUUUCAUUUUGCUUUCGCACAAAAAAUAAUUUGUACCCCACUGGCUUGACACCUUCAGGUGUUCGGACUAUUGGUCCAAAAACUUCACGUUUUUCAAGUGAAGUCAAUUCCGCUUGAAUUGCAUCCUUCCAUUUUGGCCAAUCAUUUCUCUGUCUAUAUCAUUGACAGAUUUUGGUUCCAAAUCCUCAUCUUGUUGCAUUAUUUAGUAGCAACAUUGUAAGCAAAAAUAUUGUCAACCACAAUAUUAUUUUGAUUCCACCUAUUUCUCGUCGAGACAUAACUUAUUGAGAUUUCUUUAUUCACAUUAGUUUCAGGUAUUUUGACCUCGUCAGUGGUCUUAUCAUUUGUUAGAUCUUGAGGCUCUUUUUGAGCGACUACCAUUAUAUCAUGAUCAUUUUGAUCAUUUAUUCUUUUCUUUUUCGAGGAGUUUUAUCCUUGGAACCAAUCGGUCUACCACGUUUGAAACGUGGUUUAGACUCAUUUGCAUUGACCACUUGUCCUAUCAGGACAUCAACUCGAACUGGAGCAUUUGCAACUAAAAUAUAAGAUUUAGUAACCCUUGGAAGGUUAGUAAAUGCAUCUGGUAGCUGAUUUGCAAUAUUUUGCAAGUAAACCAUCUUUUGAACCUCUUGCUCACAUUGAUUUGUUCGAGGAUCCAAAUGAGAUAGUGAUAAUGCAUUCCAAUCUAUCUCAUGUUUCAACUACUUAUGUUCUCCCCCUAAUGUUAGGUAUACUGAUUCAUCAAAAUGACAAUCGGCAAAUCUUGUCGUAAACAAAUCUCCUGUCAUAGGUUUCAAAUAUUUUAUAAUGAAAAGUGAUUCAUACCCAACAUAUAUUCCCAACCUUCGGGGUCCCAUUUUUGCGCGUUAUGGUGGAACAAUUGAAACAUAUACCGCACAUCCAAAAAUUCUAAGAUGGGAAAUAUUUGGUUCUUGACCAAAAACCAACUGUAAUGGGGAGAAUUUAUGAUAACUGAUUGGCCUUAUGCGCACAAGUGUUGCUGCAUGCAAAAUAGCAUGUCCCCACAUUGAAACAGGAAGUUUUGUCCUCAUUAACAUCGGUCUAGCUAUCAAUUGAAGAGGUUUGAUCAAUGAUUCUGCUAGACAAUUUUGAGUGUGAACAUGAGCAACCAGAUGUUCAACUUUUAUUCCAGUUGACAUACAAUAAUCAUUAAAGGACUGAGAUGUAAACUCACCAGCAUUAUCAAGACAAAUAGUUUUUAUUGCAUAAUAUGAAAAUUGUGCUCUUAACCUUAUUAUUUGAGCCAACAAUCUCGCAAAAGCCAUAUUGCGCGUUGAUAAUAAGCACACAUGUGACCAUCUUGUAGAUGCAUCUAUCAGGUCCACACGAAGGGUGAAUUGGUCCACAUAUAUCACCCUGUAUACGUUCCAGAAAUGCAGAGGAUUCAAUCCCAACCUUAGCUACUGAUGGUUUAAUAAUCAACUUUCCUUGAGAACAAGCAACACAUGAGUAUUCCUUUGAUUGAUGAAUAUUUUGAUUAUUCAAAGUAUGUCCAUGUGAAUUUUCAAUAAUUCUGCACAUUAUAUUAUAAUCGGGAUGGCCCAACCGAUCAUUCCAAAUGAUAAAAUUAUUACAAUCUGUAAUUUUUUUAUUUACUAUAGUAUGUGAUUCAACCAUACAAAUACUUAUAUGAUACAAUCGAGAAGAAAGUGCAGGUGGUUUUUAAUGCACAAACUUUUCUCCACCUUUUAUUGUAGUAAUAUAAAGAUAUUCAAUCUUUCCUUCAUUUGCAGUCUCAAUGUGAUAGCCAUUUCGGCGAAUAACCUUGAAACUUAACAAGUUUCUUUGAGACUUACUACAAUAUAAUGCAUUAUCAAUGGUCAAUAUUAUUCCCCCGGGUAGUAAUAAGGUCGCUCUUUCAGAACCUUCAAUUAAUGUUGUACUAUCGGAUAUUGUAUUAACAUGGGCCAUUUUCAUAAUCAAAUUAGAGAACUAUUUCUUUUCUCUUGAUAUAGUGUGAGUUGUAGCACUAUCAAGAAGACACACAUCUCCAUUGCUCAUCUUGGAUCUAGUUGAAGAUUGAGAAAAUUUUAUUAUCUUCACAAAAUAAAAUUACAUGAUAAGAAAAGUGAAAUCUCACAAUCUUACAAUAAAACUUAAAUACUUAUUAUUUUAUCUUGAAAUGUAAAAACAACAUAAUGGAAAAAAAUGCUGAAAACAUCAUAAUAAAAUAACAUUAUUUAUCUAAUAACUUGAUCAAGAUUUAGUUUUGGUCUCCAAAGAAGUCUUCAACUUCCAAAUGAGUUGUAUCAUCAAGGCCAUCAAAAUUAUCAUCUUUCAAAACCAAGUUUGCCUCAACAUUGUCAUCAUAUUUUUGUGAAGGUCCUGCCUCAUUAUCAUUUUUGAAAGUCAAAUGUGACUCAAUCCAGGCAUUAGAAGAGGUCCCACCUUCAUUUCUAUUUUUUUUGCAAGAUUCUUGAUAAAGCCUAGCAAAAUGCUUAGGCGCCCGACAUUCAUUCUUCCAGUGGCCUUUCAUACCACAACGAUGACAAUUACCUCUUCAGGGAUUGUUUUGGGGACCCAUUUGGUUCUCCCCUUUUUGGUUACCACCACUACGACGAUUAUUAUAUUGUCCCCUGCCAUUGCCACGUCCACGCAUAUUAUUAUGACCCCGAUCUGGCCAUCUUUCAGGCUGGCCAUGUGCUUGUACCCCAUUUGCUUCCGGUAGUGGAACAGCUUCAGUGGGCCGUGCUUCAUGAUUUUUCAUCAAAAGGGCAUUAUGUUGCACAGCCACUAGAAGGCAUGAGAUCAAUUCAGAAUACUUUUGAAAGCCCUUUUUCACAUUUGAGGCAUGAAAAGUAGUUGGUGUUUUUUUCAUCAUGUCCUCAUCAUUUAUAGUUUUCCCAUAUAAUUUCAAUUGGAAAACAAUCUUGAAUACAACAAAAUUAUAUUCAACAACGGUUUUAAAGUCUUGAAACCACUCAUAACGAGCUCUAGGCAGUACCGUGACCUUUAGGGGUCAUACCUUCCCUUCAAAUCAGUCCACAAUUCAAGUGGAUCUUUCACAGUAAGGUAUUCAACCUUCAGUCCUUCAUCCAGAUGAUGACGAAGGAAAAUCAUAGUCUUGGCCUUGUACUGACUCGACGUUGCAUUAUCCAGAGUAAUAGUAGCACUAAGACCCUUAGCAGCUAGGUGAAUCUCAGCGUCGAGAACCCAUGACAAGUAAUUUUUUUUAGAGAUGUCAAGUGCCACAAACUCAAGUUUCGAUAAGUUUGACAUGAUGGAAACUAUCAUAAAAAUAAUGAAGUUAGACAACAAUAAUAACAUUUUUUUUUUAUGUGUAACUUUAACGUUAAAAUCAAAACUUUGAUAAAAGAAAAAUAACAAACUCAAUAAGACAAGUAAGUUGAUUAUACCCGAAGGAUGGAAAACUUGAAAAAGAGUAGAGUCGUGCUGAUGACGUGAUAUGAAAUUAUGUACGAAGAUAACAAGGUAUAAUAGAAAUAAGCAGUGUGUAAAAUAAAGAGUACAAGUUGUCGUUCUCUACAAUUUUCCUUCACAAGCUAUGGGCUAUUUAUAGCCGAGAAAAGGCAUCGUUUCCACCCCAAACUAUACAAGAAAAGUCGAAGCCACACCUAAACUAUAUUAGUGACCUAUUACACACCUAAACUAUAAAAAGUGGAGCUUUCUACACCUUGUAAAGCAUUAUACCACUUGCAUAUGGUGCGGUGUUUUACACACGUUGCCACGUCAGUGCCAUGUCAGCAUAAUAUGAAAAAAAUAACAAAAAAUAUCAAAAAUCCCCUUAUUAUUUUUAUUUGUCAUCUGCCAUUAUUCUUUCUUCUUCUUCAUCAUUCACUGCCAUUUUUAUUCACCGAUGCCCCCUUAUAUUUGUUUUCCUCUUUCUUCUCUUCUUUGGACUAGUACUAUACUAGUCUUCUCUCCCAUCUUUCUUCUCUAUUUGUUACCUUUUUUAGUAUGCGGUGGAGAGUAGAGUUUGUGUACAACUUCGGGAUCGAUCGGGUGUUGCAACUUGGAACUGAAAGUUUUCAAAGUCAAGCCCUCUUUCAUCAACCAAUUUUUAUUAUUUUCUUUUCAAUUUUACCUUCGGAUCACCAAAUUAAAGAAAAUUCAUCUAGAUUUAUAAUUUUUGAAUGAAAUUGUAAUCAAAUUGUUGGGUAAUUAAGAAAAAUUCAUCUGAAUUUUGUUAGUUUUGCUUGAAAUUGUGAUCAAUUUGUUGAGUAAUUAGAGAAAACCUAUCUGAGUUUUGUAAUUUUUGAUUGGAUAUUUGGAAUUGGAUUUCUGAGUUUUGUGGUGAUGUGUUUGUUGGGAACGAUGAGAAAGAAGAGGUAGUGGUGGUGGUGGUACCAGCACCCUUAUUGGGGUUGGAAAGGGAAGAUUCAAUGGUGAUUAUGUGGGGAUAAUUUGGUGCUUCAUCUUUGGGAUUAGUGGAUAUGGGGAUAUUCGUCACCGUUUGAGUUCACCGAAACACCGGCGAAGUGAAAGCAACAAAUUCAAUUUGAAUUUCGGCAAGCUCGUUUAAGCUUAGUUCAAAAUUAGUGAUUCGAAUUUUGUUUCGAGAUUUCAAAAUUAGUGAAAUUGACAUUGAUUCGGUGGGUUUGGAGUUUGUGGGUGGGGUGAUGAAGAAAAUAUGUUGGUUGGGUGGGCUUGGAGUUUGGGGGUGAGGGGUGACAAAGAAGAUGAUGGUUUUGGGGUGGGGGUGAUGAAGAAGAUGAUGGUUUGGGGGUGGAGGAGGGGAGAUGGAUGUUGGGGGUUGGGUAGAGUGAGUAUUUUUUUUAUUUUUUUUUGCAUUAAUUUUUAAUGUAGACGCGUCUUUUUUAAUUUAAUUAAUUAUGUUUUUUCCACGUCAAAUCUAGGGUGUAAAAAAUAUCACUUUUUUUUAUAGUUUAUGUGUGUAAUAGGACACUAGUAUAGUUUAGGUGUGGCUUCGACUUUUCUUGUAUAGUUUGGGGUGGAAACGAUGUCUUUUCCCUUUAUAGCCCAAAUUAAGAACUUUAUCUAAUUUAAUAUUCAAGAAAUGGAGAAAUAGUAAGGCAAUUGCCCACUUAAAAAGGAAAUCAAAUGCCUACUGACAUGGCAUUCAUUCACAGCCUAAAAAGGAAACCAAAUGCCUAUUGACAUGGCAUCCAUUCACAACACUUAUCUUCUUAUUUAUAUUUCUAAACCAAAUAUUUAUCAAGGAAUAUAUUGUUUCAUGGUAUCAGAGCUAGAUUUUCUUUGCUAUUGAAUCAUGACUUCCAAUACAUUUACUCAAUCAGUUUCUUCUUCUUCACCGGCCUCCCUAACUGAAGCUUCCUCUACAAUUUUCGUCUCUAACGUUAAAAUUUUGGUUUUCACUAUUCUUGACUAUACAAAUAUGCUGCUUCUUUGACUUCCAUGACACUAUGCGGUGAUUGACCUUCUCGUAUUAGGAUAGGAAGCCCAGUCUGAGUCACAACAAACUGUCAGGGAAUUAAUGAUUCCUGUCUACAAAAGGACUCCCACACAACAGAAUGUAUCUAUAGCUACGAAAUCUAAGCUAUGAACUUUAAAAUCGUAACUAUUAUUCAGUAACAACGACAAAUAUUCAAAUUUCAUAGGUAUUUACAAAUUCGUGAACUUUCUUAGCCACGAAAAUCAAAUUGCCAAGGCUAAUCUCUCAUGUCUGCUACAAUUACUAAAAAUCGUGGAAAUAGUUACCUAAAUAGCUAUAAAUUUAUUGUUAUAGUAAAAUUUUGUAGCUGGUGAUAAGUUUUUGCCAUGCGAUAAUACAAUCGUGGUAAUUUGCCAAAUCGCACAGCGUGUCUUCCACCGUAGCCACAUUUGUUACCUAUGUAGAUAAUAAUACAAAGGCAUGCCUGAUACGGAAUAAUCACGGAUAUGGACUUAGGAGAGUACGUGUUGGACUCGAGCCUUGGCAUGUGCAGUUGAAGUGUAAAAGAGGCCCAAAAUGCACCCAAAUCAGCCCAUAAAUUACACUGCCCACUCUUUGAAGGGCCUUUUGGUCAUUUUAACUUAUAUUUUGUAAUAGCUAUAAAAGGAACAUUGUAGGGUUUUAGACUUAGUUUAUUGAUGAUGUUGUAAGUCUUAAUUUAUUGGAAAACACAAGUCCUCUCUUCUCUUUGGAGGCAAAACCGAAACUAGGAUACAACAAUAGGGUGGAUUCUCUUUUGUUGUUGUUUGCUUGGAAACAUUGAUGCUUGGGAGGUGGAUUCCGAUCUUGUGUCUUUGUAAGAGAUAGGUUUAUUGUUGUGUGUAGUGUUAAGGGUCCAAGAUUGUCCAUUCUUGGGUUCUUAAGAUUAUACCUUCAUGUGGUCUAUCUAUCUAUCCUUUUACCUUCUUGUAAUCUUGUUUAUUGUUUGUGUUGUAAUCUUGUGUUCUUGUUGUUAUUGCUAAAUCGGAAUCUUGUGUCUUCUUUUUUAUCAUCUUGUGUUAAUCUUGUUCUUGUUCUUGUUGCUGUUUUGGUGUUAAAAUACACAUUGUAUCUUGUAUUCUUCUUGUUGAUAGCGAAUCCGAGAGUGGUCUCCAUCUUCGUCCUCGGAUCCUUAAGAUUGUGGACUGAUUUGGAGUGUGUUUUGUGCCUUCCGUUGUCAUUCUUGUAUCAAUACCAAUUCAAUAGAAUUUCAAGGUUGAUCAACAAGACAUGUUGUAAACAAUUACAAGCCUUGAUAAAACAUUUACAUGUAUAGGACUUCAACAUAAUUCAGUAAUUUAGACCUUUGUUAUGAGGAGAAUGACAUCUCAGCUAUAUAUUCAUCUCAACUGAAUAGUUGGUUAAACAACAUUCUAAAAUUUAGAUUACGGUGGAUCAAAGAAACUGAAGCAAUCCCAUUACAAUCUCGUACCAUGACAACACUCCGGAUUGAUCUUCCAAAUCCAGAUCUUUUAGCAGUCUGGAAAGGAGAGGGGUGAGGCGGGCGAGAUCAAUAUAGCAAAAUUAGCAAUGCAACAUCCAAUUUCAUUGAAGGAGAACCUUGGAGUGACUGGUAAAGUUGCUGUCAUGUGACCAGGAGGUCACAGGUUCAAGCCUUGGAAACAGACUACGGCAGAAAUGCAAAGUAAGGUUGCGUACAAUACAUCCUUAUGGUGGGACCCUUCUCCGGACCCUUAGCAUAGAGGGAGCUUUAGUGCACCGGGAUAUCCUAUUAACAUCUAAUUUUAUGUAGAACUUUGCAUAACUUAUGUAGAGUUUAAGUAAUCAGAAGUUGAAUACUUGAUGCAAAACGAUGUAUUAAUUAUUCGGAGAUCAUAUCAGUUACGCAGGUUUUAUACGAAAUACAAACGUUGUACAAGUAAUGCAAAUUUUAAUGGACGCUAAAGUUUCUUAUACUUCAAACAAUACGUCCUCCGACAGUUUAAAGAGUACUACUGUCUAGGUAGAUGCAAUCUUUGUUUAGUGGAUUCAAUUAGACUAAAGUAUUUUCUCACACGAAACUCAGGAAAGUGAAAGGCAUACCAAUCAGUGUCUCCGAGAACGAAAGGACAAGUCACCAUUGUGUAUGAUUCCAUGUCUCCAGAUUAAAAUCGCCUCAGUUCACCAAUCUGAGUAUGAAAACAAAUGUCACCAUUAUACAUCUGGAGUCUUGUAAGCUCAAGUUCAUUACUUAAGAGCUAUGUUACUCGGACUCUUCAAAAAUGUAGGCUGGUGCAUGUUGGAGCCUUCAAAAGUAGUGUAUUUUUGAAGGAUCGAACAUGGGUGUGGCAACAUUAUAAGAGAGUCUGAGCAACUUAGCUUAAAAGGGUUGCAAGAGUAUUAAUUAGACCGCCCCCAAAAUGUCAAAAAGGUGAAAAUGAGACUCUGAUCUCAUCAAUCUCUGUUAUCGUUGUUAUCACUACCUUCCCUGACAAAUAAAAGUGCGUACAGAACAAUAUUUGGCAACUUGAGGUACAUGGAAAUAGGUUUCACUAGCGUAUAAAAAGAUGGUUGUAUUUAUUAGUAAGAACAGGAAACAAAUAACGAAAUUCAGAUUGAGAGUAUAACACAACCUCGUGAAAUGCCAUUUGAGAAAGCGAGGCAAAUGUAGCUGAUUUUCUUUACCUUUCACCUAAGCCGUGUCCUGAAAAAAUUGGCGAGUUAUAUUUAGUUAGUUGCAUUAUCUUCUACUUGUUUUUCCGAUAUUUUCACGAUAUUCAAAUGCAAAAACAUUAUCACGAUGAUCUAAAGAAAUUAUCUGUGUAUCUCUUGAAACUACCUUUCAGUUUCCUCCUUUUUGCCAUGUCCCUUGAAAUACCUAUAAAGAUAUGACACCUGGGCUAACUCAACCCCAAAAGCUAGCGAGGAUUGCUCAAGCCCAUAUAAGCAGACCGCCAGUCCAUUCCACAACCAAUGUAGGACUUUCAUCCACUUCAAUGCUCCCCCUCAUGCCCUGGACGGAGAUGGACCUAGUUCUGAUAACAUGUAAAGAUAUGACAUCUGGCCGAACUCAAUCUCCUAGUUCAUGAGGGGAGGAUUGCUCAAGUCCAUGUAACCAAAACCGCCAAUCCAUUCCCCAACCAAUGUGGGACUUUCACCCACUUCAACAAUACCAAAAGCUCAUCAUGUAACUUGAAAGCCUUCACCUGCAGUCAGUGAAGUCAAUUGUCUUAAGAGCUUUGAUCUACUUCAAAUUGUGUGUCAUUUAGGCUAAAAAGGAUAUGACUGUAUAUUUUACCAUUUAUUUUUCACUUUACAUAUGAAAAAUAAGGAAAGUAUGGUCAAAAUUGCUUCCAUUAGAUGUAACUAGAUUUCAAACAAAUGAUGUGUUUUUUUCCUGCUUAAGCUUGAAAUAAAUAGCGUAAAUAAACUAGCAAUGAUCUAGAGCACCCCGUCUCAACUCUCAUAGAAACAAGUGUUUACUUACAUAGCUCCUCAUACUUGGCUUUGAUGAUUGAGUUGUACACAUGAACACAAAAAUUCUCAAGAUAUCAUAUCAAGGCUAACCUUAAUUUUCUCCUUUAGGUAACCCUUCUGUCAUGCAAACUGCUCAUCUGUCGCAGCUGCUACCUUUCUCUUCUUCUUUCUAUUUCUUUUCCUCUUUCUCUUUCUUGGAACAUCGUCCAUUUUCCUCGAUGGGCUGCCACAAACUCUAAUCAGCUCAAUGUUAUGAGAUUUAUGUUCCUCCCUAUCUGUGGCGAUGUCAUACUCAGCAGACGCCCGUGAAAAGUCAAUUUCAGUUGUUACUGCACUAUCUUUGGGCAGAACUGGAAAGAGUUUGAGACCUUGCAUCGCUCGCUGCUUCCUUUUCCAUCUCUUAUUUUUAUUCUCAUACUCGAGGCGAAUUCCCCAACAUAUUUCCUGUCUGAGAUUUGAAGAUACCUCAAAAAGGAAAUAAUCAUUUGGAUUCUUCCCUACUUUAUUGCCAGAAGCGUGCCACAAUGUUUCAGACGGUAUGUAAAUGAAACACAUGACAGACGACUUGAACCAACACUUGAUGACAUAUUUCAAGGAAUGUUUUCGUUCAGGGUCAGAUUUGCAGACUAAUGUAGCUACUAGACUCACACGUGUUGUAUUACAACCGUAACAUAUGGUAAAACCCAUGAAUUUAUCGGUAUACCAAGAUGGAUUCAGAUCAAUUGAGAUCUGAUGUUUAUUUAUAAACUGGUAAUUGAACAACUCUGGACUUCUGACUUCAGGAAAAGAAAUGAGAACAUAUUCCCUAUGGUGAAAGUCACACUGCAAUAAAAUCAUUAUUAAUCGAAAUCAAUUUGACAAGAAUAUUCAACGUUCAUAUAAGUGAAGGAUCGAUAAAAAACCUGGAAGCAUGUCCUGAUUAACUGUUGUAGGGACUUCAACACAUUAACUUGGCUUGUCGAGACAGUUCCACAUUCAGAUUCUUCAUGACCACACCUUGAUACUGAGAGCACAUGCAGCUUAAGACACUUAGUUACUAGAUCUCUGAUGCUCUUCAUGAAUAAAUGAUAAUCUAAAUAUAGAUCCGUUAAAUUUGGAGGUAGUUGUUCUCCUGGCAGUUCUUUAAGAUUCUGACAGAAUUGUACGUCCAGACGCUGAAGUUGUAGGAGUUGUUUGAUGCUUUUGGGUAAACAAGAAAUAUUGCUUCCACUUAAAUUCAACUCAUCCAGAAAGAGCAAAGAACCCAAUUCCUCAGGUAGUCCACCCAAAAUAUUUAGAUUACUGAGAUGGAGAUCCGUCAAGGAGGAUAAACCUGAUAGUUCAUGCAAGAUGAAACUUGACGAAUGCUGGAAAACAUGUGAGAAUCUUAAGGCCGUCAGUUUGCCAAGCUUGGCGAUGGAGGUAGGUGGUUGGGAGAUCGCAGUUUCUGUCGCGUAAAGUAUCUCUAACUCUUGCAUAUCGCCGAUGUUUUCUGGAAGCUUCUCUAGCUUCUUGCAUCCACGGAGACAAAGAAAUUGAAGAUUCAUCAAGUUACAAAGGCUGUUUGGUAGACUUACAAGAUCUUCACAACCAUUCAGAUUGAGGUCAUAGAGGCCGCUCAGAUUCCCAAUGGACGAAGGCAGUUCUCUUAUCCCAGUAGAAUUCAAAGUCAGCUUUUUCAAGCAAUGCAUAGCUCCAUUGAUUUCUGGAAAUGUAUCUAAUUUUGGGCAAUUAUUUAGAUCGAUCAGUUGAAGGGAUUCCAUCUGAAUGUAGCUCGGAAGCUUCUUUAAGUUCUCACAUCUAUAUAUCGCUAACCGAUUGAGAUUCUUUUGAACUCCGAGAGAUGUUGGAAUCUCUACCAAUCCGGAACAUCGAAUUAUGGAAAGAUCUUCUAGUUGUUGUGAUUCAAAGAUGCUGUUUGGCAGCGUUGUAAGUUUAUUGCAACCUUCAAUAUAGAGUGAUUCAAGAUUUCGAAUAGCUUCUGGAAUACUUUGAAGAACUUCACCACCUCUCAAUUUCAUAAAAUUAAGGGCGCUGAGAGAUGGGGGUAAGCUUCUUAUCCAGGGGGAUCCUACACCAAGUUUUGAUAAGCACGGCAUAUCUCCACAGAUUUCUGGAAAUUCUUCUAAGCAUAUGCAUUCGUCAAGUAAGAGAGUCUCAAGAGAUUCCAUGGUAACAAAUUUUGGAAGCUUCUUAAGUUUGACACAACCAUACAAAUUCAAAGAAGUAAGCAUUCUGCAAUGUCCAAUAGAGGGAUGGACCUCUUCCAAAUUCUCGCAGUGCCAUAAAUUUAGUGUCUCCAAGACUGGCAUAUCACCAAAAUUAGGCGUUCUUGUUAACUCGAGGCUGUCCCUGAGAUCCAAAUGCUGCAAGUUGCUCAAUUUCUGUUUUCAUAUAAAAAUUAAUUAAUACCUAAUAGAAAGAGAAGGUUGUUAUGCUCAAUCAAGGCAGUAGCAAAUGUCAAAAACAACUUUGUUAUGUUUUACAUGAUGUAAAUUGUGUAUAUCAAAGCAUUUGAACCAUGGUGUGAUUAAGUCACAUGCAUUAACCUAUCAAAUAUAAACAUUGGAGUUAAGUUUUGGAGAGAAAGAAAUCACUCUACCUUUCGUAUUGGCCAAAGUUCAACAAGACGACUUCUAUAUAAACAAAGCCCAACGAGGUGUGAUGGGUCAAACCCCUCUGGCAAUGAACUUGAAGGAUAGUCCGGCCAUUCAAUCCACCGCAGGCUAGAAGGAAGACAAGUGAUAAUGCUUUCCGAGCAAAUAGUUUGAUUAUCCAAUAUCAGCACCUGUAAUCUUUCCAUCUUCU